rnacentral:lncRNA from 1 species
GGUUAUGCUGUGGGCUGGGUUAUCUCAGGUUCAUCGGCGCUGAAGGUUUGAUCUUCUUGGGGUUCGUCGACGUGCUUGGGUUUUUUUGGAAUUUGAGUCGGUGCAUCUUCAUUGUCUUUGCGAAUCAGGUUCAUGUUCCGAUUCUCUAUCAUGCUUUAAUUCUAUGAAGUAGUAGAUCUAGUUUGUUUGCGGCACGAAGCCAUUACUGUUGGUUUUAUUGUUGGGCACGAAGCCAUUUCUAUGAAUGUUUGUAAAAGAUUAGUUGAUUGGAAAUUGUGGGCACGAAGUCAUUUAUGUGAAUUUCUUUGAAGAGUUGUUGAAAUUUGAGGGCACAAAGCCAUUUCUGUGAAUUUCUUUGAAGAGUUAUUGAAAUUUAAGGGCACGAAGCCAUUUCUGUGAAUGUUUGUGACGAAUAGUUGAAUUUCUAUGACCACUGUUAGUUAAAAUUUGAAGCAUUUCUUGCUACUUUGUUAUUCUUGAAGGGUUGAGGAGAUAAUUGUUUCUUGAUACGACUAUUAAUCUAACAAAUAGCGAUGGCAUCUUCAUCUGUAAAAAUUGAAGGGCUUUUGGGAAUGUUGACAAUUAAGUUGAAUGACAAGAAUUUUUCGAAAUGGGUGCUUCAGUUCAAAUCUGUUCUAAAAGGAUAUAAGUUGUUUGAUCACUUUGAUGGGUCGCUUUCAUCUCCACCAAAAUUUGUGGUUAGCACUGAUCGUGGUGUUACAAAUGAAAUUUCUGAGGCAUGUACAGAAUGGGAAGCUGUUGAUCUUGCUCUCUUGAGUUUGUUGAUUAUUACAUUGACUGAUGAAUCUAUUGAGCAUGUUUUGGGAUCUAGGACUGCUCAUGAGGCCUGGACUAAUCUUCAAGAUAAGUAUGCUUCUGUUUCUAAAGCAAGGGUGAAUACGUUGAAGACUGAAUUUCAGACCACGCAGAAGGGUAGUGACUCUAUUGAUCAAUAUCUGUCUAAACUUAGAAAUAUUAAAGAUCAGUUAAUUGCUGCGAGAGAAUUUGUGACUAAUAAUGAUUUCAUUGUUGCUGCUCUGUCUGGUUUACCAAGGGAAUAUUCUGUGAUUAGAACAGUGAUUUACACAAGAGACACUACUAUGUCCUUAAGGGAAUUUAGAGAGCAGUUACUAUGUGCAGAAAGGGAGGCUGAGUCUGUGGUGAGUGGUUUAUCUCAAAAAUUUUCUGGAAUGUAUGUGCAAGGGAAUGUUGCUUCUUCAUAAUUUACAAUGGCUUAGGGUCAUCAAGUAAGUCUGAUGAGGUUGUGUAUAGUACUUGAGGGAUUCUUACAAGGGUUCUAAAUGCAAUUCCAUCUUUUGGAGUGCCAAAUCAGGGAGCAUCAUCAUCUAAUUCUGUAAUGCAUCUAUCACCAAUGCCAGUGUCUAAUAUUCAGUAUCCAUCACCAUUUCCUAGUACUCAGUAUCUUAUGGUGCAGCCUCAACCUCCAGUGUAUCCUGAUUUCUCUAAUGUAUCAUUAUUUCCAAGUAAUCAGUUUCCUAUAGUGCAUCAUCAACCUCAAUUCUAUCCUGAUUUGUCUAAUGCAUAUGGCUUUGUUGGGAAUACUAAUGCACAUAGACAGUAUUCUAAUUCCAAUAAUGGUACAAGACAUGUCUAUGGUACAAAACCAAAUGGUAAUGGUACCUUUAGAUCAUCCAACUAUGGUGGUAAUUGUGGGAAUACAUUAGGCGGAAGAUAGAAUAGUGGAAAUUGGCAGUCAUGGUCUGGAAACACUGAAACUAGGCCAAAUAUUGUCCCUGAAUGUUAGAUAUGUUCCAAGAGGGGGCAUACAGCUCCAAAUUGCUGAAAGAGGUCUACCAAUCCGAGUUCAAGUGGAUCAAUACUUGAGUACCAAAUUUGUGGCAAGCGAGGUCACAGUGCAUUAGAUUGUCAUCACAGGAACAAUUUUGCCUAUCAAGUAUCUGCACCUACUCCUACAUGAACUGCCAUGCAAGCUCAAGCUCCAACUAACUUUCUUCCAAAUGACUUAUGGAUCAUUGACACUGGAGCAUCAUAUCACAUAACAGCAGAUCUCCAUUCCUUGCAGCAAGUUUCUCCAUAUAAGGGCAAUGAUAAAAUAACAAUUGGCAAUGGGGAAGGUUUGCAAAUCAAACAUAUUGGUUCUACAUGUUUGAAGACAUUACCUCAUUCAUUACUUUUGAGAAAUGUCUUACAUGUUCUAACUAUUGUUGUUAGUCUAUUAUCUGUCAAACAAAUAUGUAAAGACAACUAUUGCUGGUGUAUAUGUGAUGAUACUAACUUCUAUGUGCAGGACAAGGUAACCAAGGCUGUAAUAUACCACGGAAGGAGCAGUGAUGGUGAGUUGUUUCAGAUUUCGAUCAAGAUGUUUUAAAAAAAAAAUUAGUUUCUCCAGUUCAAAAGUCAGUUGCUUUGCUCUCAAGCUCGGUAAACCCAGCUGAGAUUAAGGGGGGGAAGAUAAGUGUAGAAACAUGUCAUUAGUAGAAUAAGGGUGUGUGCCAUAUCAGCAAAAUACAGUUGAGAAUUGUUGUUAGUUGCUGAAUGGUUAAAAGUUAGUUAGAUGGAUAAAGAUGAGCUGACAAGUGUAAAAUGCUAUAUAUAGCAUAACUUGUAAGCCUUUAGAUUCUUACGAAGUAAUCUGAAAAGUUUCUACAUUUCUCUCUCUCUCUCUCUCUCUCUCUCUCUCUCUCUCUCUCUUUUCUCUCUGCUAUUUUCUCUGUAAACCUUUAUACAUAUUUCUUCAUUCUUCACUAGAUUCAUAGUGUUAAUAAAGACGAGCUUUACAUUGUUCGGCAGAGCCAUCAAGAUUACGUUUGAUACGGAAAACCCAUUUGUAACCAACAAUGUUCUGAUCUAGAUGAGGAUGGACAAGAGACCAUGUUUGAUUACGCAAAAGAGCAUUAAUUUCCUCCAUCAUGGCAAGGCACCUGUGUGGAUGUUUAGAGGCUUGUAAGAAACCUGUAGAUUCUUCAAUUUCAAGGGAGGCUAAAAGAGCAUGUGGCAAAGGAUACUGGACAGUGCCAUCAGUGCAAGUUUUAGGUUGAAUAAUCUCGUCACGAACCCGCGUGAUCAUAGGAUGAGUGGAAGUUGUAGUCGAGGAGGCAAGUUGGUGUAGAAAUUGUCACAGGACUAGAAGGUGUUGCAAUUAUGUGCACGGUCUCAGAGUAAUCUGACAUAUGAGUGUUCAUAGGCCCAGUGAGCAUGGUUGAAGAAGUAGGCACAUGCAGGGAAGGGAAAUAUUGAAGAAACCUAGGACAUAAGAAAACCUAGACGAGUGUUACCAUGUAAAAUUAUGACUCCUUGUAUUCAUGUGUGGAACAUAUUACAAUAUAUAGGAGUAUAUUAAUCCUUAUUGAGGUAGAAAUCUUACACUAAUCACAAUUGGAACUUACAUUCCUAAUUACAUGCUACAAUAGCAUAAAGAAUUUCAGAUUAAUUAAAGAUAAUUCAUGCAGUAACUGGAAUUGAGAUAUAUAAAAUCAAAGCUGGAGAACGAGGCCUUUAACACCAACUACAAUUCAUUAAGUAAAGAAGCGUUGUGCAUGACUAUUUUUGGAUAUUGAUCUCCAUUCAUAUAGAAAAUCUUCAAUUCAAAUUUGAAAGUUAGCCUCUACAAAUUGUUAUAUAUUUGCCACAUGUCUUAACUAAUUUCGUUUACCGAAGCAAUGAUAAGGAGCGUCUAGGGCCGAUUUUAGAAGAUAAAGAACAUUCUUUGGUGCUCCACAGUCAGAAACCUUGACUUCGAGUAAACAAAUUUCGAGGGUAAUCUCGAUUAUUGGAAGUAAAAAAUGAUCGCUCCACUCUCAAGGCUGCUUGGACCAUACCCUUAUAAGAGUCGUACUGCAUUAUUGACAUAUAAGGGCAGAUCUCAUCAGAUAUAGCAAUGUCAAACUGAUUCAUCAUCUUACGGGUUUUCAUAAACGGAGGGGACAUGUUUCACCAAACGCCUGAAUUUACAAUUGAGUUCAGUCAAUGACAUAUUCCCUGGCAAAAAUCAUAAAAUUCUUGUCUCUUGCUAGCUUUAUACUGGGGACUUAGAAAAUAAUCUUAAAAGAGUUCCCAAAAAGUUCUCCAUGUCUGACCAACUCAACCACGGUCAGUCCUUGAAUUGGUAAAUUCUUGGUCUCUUCUUCCUUAGCUUCAUUUUGGUUUUUAAAUCACUGGGAAUGAUGGAGUUUUAACCCCAAAAUGGAGCCAGGGAAGUUUCCCUGCCAAAAUCCUAGCAUUCUCAUUUGUUGGGUUCGGCGAUCCGUGAGCCAAAUCAGGUCAACAAGACCCGCCACCCAAUCUGAGCCUAAACCCAUUAGCCCAAUAACCAAGCCCAAAACCUUUGCCCCAAUAACCCAUAAACCCGGAUCCAACCUAGGCCUAACCCAACAACCCAAGCACAUAUACGACCCAGAUCCUAGCCGACCCGAGCCUAAUACCCAGUUCCACGAUCGGUGUGUGGGUCCAAGUGUGGGCGUUGCCAGGGCCGGUAUUGUGCUUUGUCACUGUCUAUGACGGCGACCACGACAGCAUAGGCGAAUUUUUCGAAAACCUAUCGUGGCACGUGG